GAUGAACGCUAGCUACAGGCUUAACACAUGCAAGUCGAGGGGUAACGAGAGGAAAGCUUGCUUUCCUUGUCGACGACCGGCGCACGGGUGAGUAACGCGUAUCCAACCUGCCUCCAGCUAGGGAAUAACCUUGCGAAAGUAAGACUAAUACCCUAUAAUUUCCUCAGAUGACAUCUGACGAGGAAUAAAGAUUUAUCGGUUGUGGAUGGGGAUGCGUCUGAUUAGCUUGUUGGCGGGGUAACGGCCCACCAAGGCAACGAUCAGUAGGGGUUCUGAGAGGAAGGUCCCCCACAUUGGAACUGAGACACGGUCCAAACUCCUACGGGAGGCAGCAGUGAGGAAUAUUGGUCAAUGGGCGGAAGCCUGAACCAGCCAAGUAGCGUGCAGGAUGACGGCCCUAUGGGUUGUAAACUGCUUUUAUACAGGAAUAAAGUUAGCCACGUGUGGUUAUUUGUAGGUACUGUAUGAAUAAGGACCGGCUAAUUCCGUGCCAGCCGCCGCCGUAA
rnacentral:rRNA from 1 species